rnacentral:rRNA from 1 species
GACACUGAGGCUUGAAAGCGUGGGUAGCAAACAGGAUUAGAUAUCCUGGUAGUACAUGCCGUAAAUUGAUGUCUACUAGUCGUUGGGUCCCUUGAGGACUUAGUGAUGCAGCUAACGCAAUAAGUAGACCGCCUGGGGAGUACGGCCGCAAGGUUAAAACUCAAAUGAAUUGACGGGGGCCCGCACAAGCGGUGGAGCAUGUGGUUUAAUUUGAUGCAACGCGAAGAACCUUACCUGGUCUUGACAUACACAGAAUCUUGUAGAGAUACGAGAGUGCCUUCGGGAAUUGUGAUACAGGUGCUGCAUGGCUGUCGUCAGCUCGUGUCGUGAGAUAUUGGGUUAAGUCCCGCAACGAGCGCAACCCUUGUCCUUAGUUACCAGCGGGUUAAGCCGGGAACUCUAAGGAUACUGCCAGUGACAAACUGGAGGAAGGCGGGGACGACGUCAAGUCAUCAUGGCCCUUACGACCAGGGCUACACACGUGCUACAAUGGUAGGUACAGAGGGCAGCUACACAGCGAUGUGAUGCGAAUCUCAAAAAGCCUAUCGUAGUCCAGAUUGGAGUCUGCAACUCGACUCCAUGAAGUAGGAAUCGCUAGUAAUCGCGGAUCAGAAUGCCGCGGUGAAUACGUUCCCGGGCCUUGUACACACCGCCCGUCACACCAUGGGAGUUGAUUGCACCAGAAGUGGUUAGCC